rnacentral:rRNA from 1 species
CGAAAGCCUGACGGAGCAACGCCGCGUGGGGGAUGAAGGCCUCUGGGCUGUAAACCUCUUUUCUCAAGGAAGAAGAUCUGACGGUACUUGAGGAAUAAGCCACGGCUAAUUCCGUGCCAGCAGCCGCGGUAAUACGGGAGUGGCAAGCGUUAUCCGGAAUUAUUGGGCGUAAAGCGUCCGCAGGCGGCCCUGUAAGUCUGUCGUUAAAGCGUGGAGCUUAACUCCAUUUAAGUGAUGGAAACUACAGGGCUGGAGUGUGGUAGGGGCAGAGGGAAUUCCCGGUGUAGCGGUGAAAUGCGUAGAUAUCGGGAAGAACACCAGUGGCGAAGGCGCUCUGCUGGGCCAUAACUGACGCUCAUGGACGAAAGCCAGGGGAGCG